CCUACGGGAGGCAGCAGUGAGGAAUAUUGGUCAAUGGGCGGGAGCCUGAACCAGCCAAGUCGCGUGAAGGAUGAAGGUACUAUGUAUUGUAAACUUCUUUUAUCUGGGAAUAAAGUCGGAGACGUGUUCCUUUUUGUGUGUACCUGAUGAAUAAGCAUCGGCUAACUCCGUGCCAGCAGCCGCGGUAAUACGGAGGAUGCGAGCGUUAUCCGGAUUUAUUGGGUUUAAAGGGUGCGUAGGUGGGGAAUUAAGUCAGCGGUGAAAUGUUGGGGCUCAACCCUAAAAGUGCCGUUGAAACUGGUUGACUUGAGUAGAUGUGAGGUAGGCGGAAUUCGUGGUGUAGCGGUGAAAUGCAUAGAUAUCACGAAGAACUCCGAUUGCGAAGGCAGCAUACCAAAC
rnacentral:rRNA from 1 species